rnacentral:rRNA from 1 species
AUGGCGUCCUCCUCCCCUCCGCACGUCGUGGAGGAUAUGCGCCCUUUCCUCCAGCUCCUCAGCGACGGCACGGUGAUUCGUUUCCCGGACUACAACCCGCUCCCUUCCCCGUCCCCGCCGCCCGACCAGCCCGUUGUCGAGUGGAAGGACGUCGUGUACGACGCCGACCACAACCUCAAGCUCCGCGUGUACAAGCCACCGGCGGCCUCCUGUGGCGAGAAGCUCCCGGUGCUUGCCUACUUCCACGGCGGCGGGUACUUCAUGGGCAGCUUCGAGAUGCCCAACUUCCACGCCUGCUGCCUCCGCCUCGCCGGCGAGAUCCCGGCCGUGGUGCUGUCCGCGGACUACCGCCUCGCCCCGGAGCAUCGCCUCCCCGCGGCCCUCGACGACGCGGCGACCUUCCUGUCCUGGGUGCGCGGGCAGGCGGCGGCCGAGAGCGCCGACCCCUGGCUCGCGGGGUCGGCGGAUUUGAGCCGGGUGUUCGUUUGCGGCGACUCGGCCGGCGGGAACAUCGUCCACCACAUGUCCGUCCGUCUCGGGCUGGGCAGCCUCAGCCUCGACCCCGCGCGCGUCGCCGGGUGCGCGAUGCUCUGCCCGCUGUUCGGCGGGGCGCCGGCGUGCGACCAGCUGUGGCGCCUGGCGCUGCCGCCGGAGUCCACGAGGAACCGCGACCACCCGCUGGCCAACCCAUUCGCGCCCGGGGGCCCGGCGCUGGACGGCGUCGUGCUCCCGCCGAUGCUCGUGGUGGCCGCCGAGCGCGACCAGCUGCGCGGCCCAACCGCGGACUACGUCGCGAGGUUGAAGGCGAUGGGGAAGCCGGUGGAGCUCGUGGAGUUCGAGGGGCAGGACCACGGGUUCUUCGUCAUCGAGCCGUACGGCGACGCCGGAAGCGGCGUGGUCCGGGCCGUCAAGCGAUUUGUGUGCGACGACGGCUAG